UACGUAGGGUGCAAGCGUUAAUCGGAAUUACUGGGCGUAAAGCAUGCGCAGGCGGUUUUGUAAGUCUGUCGUGAAAUCCCCGGGCUCAACCUGGGAAUUGCGAUGGAGACUGCAAGGCUAGAAUCUGGCAGAGGGGGGUAGAAUUCCACGUGUAGCAGUGAAAUGCGUAGAGAUGUGGAGGAACACCGAUGGCGAAGGCAGCCCCCUGGGUCAAGAUUGACGCUCAUGCACGAAAGCGUGGGGAGCAAACAGG
rnacentral:rRNA from 1 species